UGGUGGAGCGAUUUGUCUGGUUAAUUCCGAUAACGAACGAGACUCUAGCCUAUUAAAUAGUUCGCCGAUUUUUCGAGUCGGCGUCAACUUCUUAGAGGGACAAGUGUCGUAUAGGCGCGCGAGAUUGAGCAAUAACA
rnacentral:rRNA from 1 species